rnacentral:rRNA from 1 species
AUUAGAUAAAAAACCAACGCGGCUCGCCGCUCCCUUGGUGAUUCAUAAUAACUUCUCGAAUCGCAUGGCCUUGCGCCGGCGAUGCUUCAUUCAAAUAUCUGCCCUAUCAACUUUCGAUGUAGGAUAGAGGCCUACCAUGUUUCAACGGGUAACGGGGAAUAAGGGUUCGAUUCCGGAGAGGGAGCCUGAGAAACGGCUACCACUUCCAAGGAAGGCAGCAGGCGCGCAAAUUACCCAAUCCCGACACGGGGAGGUAGUGACAAUAAAUAACAAUAUAGGGCUCUCUUGGGUCUUAUAAUUGGAAUGAGUACAAUUUAAAUCCCUUAACGAGGAACAAUUGGAGGGCAAGUCUGGUGCCAGCAGCCGCGGUAAUUCCAGCUCCAAUAGCGUAUAUUAAAGUUGUUGCAGUUAAAAAGCUCGUAGUUGAACUUCAGGCCUGCCCGGGCGGUCUGCUUAACGGUAUGUACUGUCUGGGCGGGUCUUUACCUCUUGGUGAGCCGGCGUGCCCUUCAUUGG